AUGGCGUUCAAUCUUCUCGCUGACCAUCAUACUGAAGAUAUGCAGGAUUUGAUUAAUUUGAUGAGUACACAACAAAAAGAUCUUCUCUACCAAAUAAGCCCAGCACUCUUACUUCGCCAUCAAAGAUCAGAUCGAUAUACUCGACUCUAUGAGUAUGUCAAAUACAAAGUGGGCACUUUUCAGAAGGAGCUCAUACUCGAGAAGUUGCUUCAAUUGCCAUGGGUGCUCCAAUGGAAGAGCAAGGUGCCGCAGAACAAUGUACUUAAGGAAACUUUUGACUUCAUUCCGGGUAGCUAUGACCUGAAGCGCCCGACGGAUGAGCAUAAUAAUCCAACAACUCCGUGGACUGAACGCGAACAGAAGCUUAAGCUGGUGGAGUUAUUGCUUGAUUUUGUGAGAAAUGGAACUGCACACCGAUCCCAAAGGAAAACCAAAGUCGAUCCAGAUCAGUUUGAAACCAUCAUUAUGGUUUUUUACCUCAUGCUACUUCCCAAGUUGCAAGAAGCUGUUUAUGAUGUGGCAGGAAAGCCUGCUCUUGUAUAUUUGGGAUUGGCCUAG
rnacentral:rRNA from 1 species